UGAGAUCCAAUAGAAUAGGGUUUUACAAGGGUUUUGGUAUUGAAAAUAUAAAACUUAAACUUUCUGGGGAGGGGGUUCCCCUUUUAUCCAUUUCGCUAUGCUUGCUGGUGACGUGUAAAGGCCUCUCCAUGAUUGGGACACGCGUCUCUGACAUACAGAUUCGGGCGUACGAGGGUAUCAGCCGCCUGCUCCAUGCGUAACGGCCUCUGAUUCUCCUCGUGCGUACGCUCGAGCGGAUCUGCUAGGUUGUCUGAAUAUGGCUCUGGAAACUGGGCUGGGCCGAGAGUCGGGCCGGACGCUGAACCUGAGAGGAGAGGGCCUGUUGGUCGCGGACUGGGCCGAUCCGAAUGAAGAAGCUUGGUUAAGC
rnacentral:lncRNA from 1 species